rfam:Sorghum bicolor cultivar BTx623 chromosome 4, whole genome shotgun sequence.
GUAGUCAGAUUCGCAUCAAUCCACAUGUGUUGAGGUGGAUUGGAGUGGAAGUUCAAGUUCCACUCCAAUCCACCCCAACACAUGUGGAUUGAGGUGAAUCCGACA